GCAGGCGCGUAAAUUACCCAAUCCUGACACAGGGAGGUAGUGACAAUAAAUAACAGUGCCGGGCCUUUACAGGUCUGGCAAUUGGAAUGAGAACAAUUUAAAUCCCUUAUCGAGGAUCAAUUGGAGGGCAAGUCUGGUGCCAGCAGCCGCGGUAAUUCCAGCUCCAAUAGCGUAUAUUAAAGUUGUUGCAGUUAAAAAGCUCGUAGUUGGAUUUGUGGCGUACACAGGGCUUCCGUUCCCUUUGGGUUUCGGUGUUGCCAGGUGUUGCCAUCCUUGGGUGGAAUCUGUGUGGCAUUAGGUUGUCGUGCAGGGGAUGCCCAUCGUUUACUGUGAAAAAAUUAGAGUGUUCAAAGCAGGCUUAUGCCGUUGAAUAUGUUAGCAUGGAAUAAUGACAUAGGACCUUGGUACUAUUUUGUUGGUUUGCGCACCGAGGUAAUGAUUAACAGGGUCAACUGGGGAUAUUCGUAUUCCGCUGUCAGAGGUGAAAUUCUUGGAUUUUUGGAAGACGAACAACUGCGAAAGCAUUUAUCAAGGAUGUUUUCAUUAAUCAAGAACGAAAGUUAGGGGAUCGAAGAUGAUUAGAUACCAUCGUAGUCUUAACCAUAAACUAUGCCGACAAGGGAUUGGUGAAGUAUCGUUACGUCUCCAUCAGCACCUUAGGAGAAAUCACAAGUCUUUGGGUUCCGGGGGGAGUAUGGUC
rnacentral:rRNA from 1 species